CAGCCGCCACGGUAAUACGGAGGGUGCAAGCGUUAAUCGGAAUUACUGGGCGUAAAGCGCACGCAGGCGGUCUGACAAGUCAGAUGUGAAAUCCCCGGGCUUAACCUAGGAACUGCAUUUGAAACUGUCAGGCUGGAGUCUUGUAGAGGGGGGUGGAAUUCCAGGUGUAGCGGUGAAAUGCGUAGAGAUCUGGAGGAAUACCGGUGGCGAAGGCGGCCCCCUGGACAAAGACUGACGCUCAGGUGCGAAAGCGUGGGGAGCAAACAGGAUUAGAUACCCCUGUAGUCCCUGUCUCUUAUAC
rnacentral:rRNA from 1 species